GUUACAUAGUGAGACCCUGUCUCUAAAGCAAAAGAAAAACAAACAAAGACUAAAGAACUGUCUGUUUCAGUAAAUGGGAUUAUAGUGUGAGGUGGUUCACAGGUUCCUGGGACAGGAUUAAAAUCUAAUGACACAAGACCAUGGGUCAAGGGGUUAAGAUAGUGUCCCUAUUGUGGAUGGGGUUUCUGUUGUUUCCCGCUGGGAAGGGAGAGGCCAGGGUUUGGCCUUGUUCUGAUCUGACUUGACUUCAUUCUGUGUGAAAGCAAUGCUGUGUCAGCAACACUCACAUCCAUGCGAGUUGUGCUAGAAUUCUCAAGACUAGCAGGUGUUGGAGACUUUGGGCAGAUAGAUGUGAAGGCCCUUUGCCCUCCUUGUGGCUUUCUAAAUUCUCCUUACCUGUCUAGCCUCUGGGUCCUGUCCCUCCGUGGCUUCAGGACUCAGUUGUCAGCCCAGGAAAGCCUGUGAGCUCUGCAAGUGGACUGUUCUGUCAGGACUGAUUGGAGAUUGACUUCCUUACAAGAAGGUGGGCGGGACUCUCAGGCUUAGGUGUGUCUGUGGGGAUUGUGUAGGCUGUAUAUUGACAUAAGAGAUUAAGCUGCCCUGGGACUUUCUAUUUGAGAGCUAUUUUGGAAGAACAAACCAAAUUAAACCAAACCAAACCAAACAAAACCAAACAAAACAACCCCUAAUAAUAGUAAUUAUAAUUCCUUUCCCUCGCUAAGUUAUAUCUCUGUCUAAAGGCAGCUUGCAAGCAAGACCCUUUGUGUGAACGGACAAGUGCUGCCCGGGCAGGCAGACUACGGGUCAGGUCUUACGGCAUUUCCCUAUUUGCUGCUUGUAUUGCUCUCAAAAGCACUUACAUUUUUCUUUGCUUAUGUCACAGCUUUUUUAUCAGUAGUUUCCUUAAAAAAAAAAAAAAAAAAAAAACACAAAAACCAAAACCUAUUAAAUUCUUGCUAUCUCUUUUCAGAGAGAUUAGGAAACUUCGAAGCUCCGUUACAGUGUGGAACACCAAGCAAGCGUCUGCCCUUGCCAAUAGGACGCACAACCUGCCUCUGGGCUCCUAUCUGUUUUUCUCUGACGAACAGCCAUUUACAUGUGGACAGAUGAGAAGGGCUGGACACUCCUUGUGGAGCAAGGCUGGAGGCUGACUCAUGCACAGUGAAUACCCUGGCAGGGAAAACUCUAGAGCAGUAAAUUAAAAAAAAAAGUAUUCUCGCACUACCACCAACUUAAACAGAGAGCUGCAGCAAGGGCUGAUUUGAAUGCCUGUUAUUUCCUGUCAGCUUGGGAUGAGUUUUCCGGGACACUAAGACACACAGAG
rnacentral:lncRNA from 1 species